UAAGGUGAGUCUAAGCUCUUGUUCUCACUACGCUAUCUAACAAAGAUAUAGUUGAUAGGGUUUAGCUUGCGGUGUCGGCAUCACCUGCCCAAGGACCUAUCUCUUUGUUAAUGCUGGAUCGCAUCUUUCCAUUAGGCCAAUCAACUAAGUUGAUAUCCAUCAACGAAGGGUGGUUCGAUAGUAGACUCAUUAUCUCACGUCCUCAUGUACACUAGUGUAAUACUUGUAGAGAUCUCUAUAUGGAUUGGAUUUGACAUUGAGGCGUCCCCCAACGAUAAUCACAAUUCAGACUUCAUGAGACGGAUUUGAGUAUCACUGAUCAAUGGAUCAGGUUGUGCCAAUCUCGCUUUCAUCCUAGUGCGAGAAUAUAUCGAACCUAAGGGCCUCCCUCCUUUUAGGGAGCCACACGGCCUUGUGACACCAAUUUUGCCACUAUAUGGUGUCACCAUAUCACCAUCCAUGGUGAUGGCGCCAAGAGCAACUUCUUUUGGUCGCGCCAUGUCCUUUUGUAGGACAUCAAUCCUUGCAGACAUAUUUGCAGCAUGUGAUCUCGUCACUUUAACACUAUAAGCAUUUGGGAUCAAGAUGAGACUUAGUGGGGACAAACCACGACAAUUCACGUCGUUCCACUUGAACACUCGUGUUCUUAUCUCCCCCUAACGGCGGGAAUAUUGUCUCAUCAAAGUGACAAUCCGUAAUUUAGCGGUGAAUGAGAUCGCCUGACAAGGUUUCUACAUAUGCGGAUUAUAGGUGGAGGUUCAUAUCCAACCUAAACUUAUUCAUCUCAAAUGACCAAUCAUUGUACGCAAUGGCAAUGCGAUUUGGCAUCUAGAAAUAACAUCUAGCCGAGCUCAAGGAUUGGAGAUCCGUUUCAAUCUUGCCGAGCUCAAGGAUUGCAAUUUCGUGUCAAUCCUGGUACACAGUCACGAGCUGUAGUACAACAAAAUUCAAUGAUGGUGGGUCGUAGAUGAAUAGUAAAGCUGCAUGCAAAUAUUGCAUAGCCCCAAGACGCAAUAGAAAGAGUGGUG
rnacentral:lncRNA from 1 species